UACGGAGGGUGCAAGCGUUAGUCGGAAUUACUGGGCGUAAAGGGUGCGUAGGCGGGAAUACAAGUCGGAUGUGAAAUUCCGGGGCUCAACCCCGGAGCUGCAUCUGAAACUGUAUUUCUUGUCGGAUGACGGAGAAAAUAGAAUUCCACGUGUAGCGGUGAAAUGCGUAGAUAUGUGGAAGAAUACCUGUGGCGAAAGCGGUUUUCUAGUCUGCCCGAGACGCUGAGGCACGAAAGUUAGGGGAGCAAACAGG
rnacentral:rRNA from 1 species